rnacentral:tRNA from 1 species
GGCCGCGUGGCCUAAUGGCUAAGGCGCUAGAUUUCGGUUCUUCACCAAAUCUCUAGAGAUUCCAGGUUCGACUCCUGGCGUGGUCG